UACAGAGACUGCGAGCGUUAUUCGGAAUUACUGGGCGUAAAGCGCACGUAGGCGGCUUUGUAAGUUAGAGGUGAAAGCCCAGGGCUUAACCCUGGAAUUGCCUUUAAGACUGCAUCGCUAGAAUUGUGGAGAGGUAAGUGGAAUUCCGAGUGUAGAGGUGAAAUUCGUAGAUAUUCGGAAGAACACCAGUGGCGAAGGCGACUUACUGGACACAUAUUGACGCUGAGGUGCGAAAGCGUGGGGAGCAAACAGG
rnacentral:rRNA from 1 species